UACGGAAGGCAGCAGUGGGGAAUAUUGCACAAUGGGCGCAAGCCUGAUGCAGCCAUGCCGCGUGUAUGAAAAAGGCCUUCGGGUUGUAAAGUACUUUCAGUCGUGAGGAAGGUGUUAAGGUUAAUAACCUUAGCAAUUGACGUUAGCGACAGAAGAAGCACCGGCUAACUCCGUGCCAGCAGCCGCGGUAAUACGGAGGGUGCGAGCGUUAAUCGGAAUUACUGGGCGUAAAGGGCACGCAGGCGGUUAAUAAGUUGGAUGUGAAAUCCCCGGGCUUAACCUGGGAAUGGCAUUCAAGACUGGUUAGCUAGAGUCUUGUAGAGGGGGUAGAAUUCCAUGUGUAGCGGUGAAAUGCGUAGAGAUGUGGAGGAAUACCGGUGGCGAAGGCGGCCCCUGGACAAAGACUGAUGCUCAUGUGCGAAAGCGUGGGGAGCAAACAGGGAUUAGAUACC
rnacentral:rRNA from 1 species